rnacentral:rRNA from 1 species
AUUGAACGCUGGCGGCAUGCUUUACACAUGCAAGUCGAACGGUAACAGGCCGCAAGGUGCUGACGAGUGGCGAACGGGUGAGUAAUGCAUUGGAACGUGCCCAGUCGUGGGGGAUAACGCAGCGAAAGCUGUGCUAAUACCGCAUACGAUCUAUGGAUGAAAGCGGGGGACCGUAAGGCCUCGCGCGAUUGGAGCGGCCGAUGUCAGAUUAGGUAGUUGGUGGGGUAAAGGCCCACCAAGCCAACGAUCUGUAGCUGGUCUGAGAGGACGACCAGCCACACUGGGACUGAGACACGGCCCAGACUCCUACGGGAGGCAGCAGUGGGGAAUUUUGGACAAUGGGCGCAAGCCUGAUCCAGCAAUGCCGCGUGCAGGAAGAAGGCCUUCGGGUUGUAAACUGCUUUUGUACGGAACGAAAAGGUCUGGGUUAAUACCCUGGGCCGAUGACGGUACCGUAAGAAUAAGCACCGGCUAAUUACGUGCCAGCCGCCGCGGUAACAC